rnacentral:rRNA from 1 species
AACGAACGCUGGCGGCAUGCCUAACACAUGCAAGUCGAACGAGACCUUCGGGUCUAGUGGCGCACGGGUGCGUAACGCGUGGGAACCUGCCCUUAGGUUCGGAAUAACUCCCCGAAAGGGGUGCUAAUACCGGAUAAUGUCUUCGGACCAAAGAUUUAUCGCCUUUGGAUGGGCCCGCGUUGGAUUAGCUAGUUGGUAGGGUAAAAGCCUACCAAGGCGACGAUCCAUAGCUGGUCUGAGAGGAUGACCAGCCACACUGGGACUGAGACACGGCCCAGACUCCUACGGGGGGCGGCAGGGGGGAAUUUUGGAAAAUGGGCGAAAGCCUGAUCCAGCAAUGCCGCGUGGGUGAUGAAGGCCUUAGGGUUGUAAAGCUCUUUUACCCGGGAUGAUAAUGCCAGUACCGGGAGAAUAAGCUCCGGCUAACUCCGG